AACGAACGCUGGCGGCAGGCCUAACACAUGCAAGUCGAACGGACCCUUCGGGAUUAUUGGCAUACGGGGGAGUAACGGGUGGGAAGGGACCCUUUGCUACGGAAUAACUCAGGGAAACUGGAGCUAAUACCGAAUGUGCCCUACGGGGGAAAGAUUUAUCGGCAAAGGAUCGGCCCGCGUUGCAUUAGCUAGUUGUUGGGGUAAUAGCCUACCAAGGCGACGAUCCAUAGCUUGUCUGAGAGGAUGGUCAGCCACACUGAGACUGAGACACGGCCCAGACUCCUACGCAAGGCAGCAGUGCGGAAUAUUGCACCACCGCCGGAAGCAUGAUCCACCCCUGCCCGGUGAGUGCUGAAGGUCUUAGGAUUGUAAAGCUCUUUUAACGGUGAACAUCAUGACGGUACCCGGAGAAAAAGCCCCGGCUAACUUCGUG
rnacentral:rRNA from 1 species